UGGGAAGUCGUCUAACGGUAGGACAAUGGGUUCUGGACCCAUUAAUUCUGGUUCGAAUCCAGGCUUCCCAGCCA
rnacentral:tRNA from 1 species